UACGGGGGGAGCAAGCGUUGUUCGGAUUUACUGGGCGUAAAGGGCGCGUAGGCGGUCAGCACAAGUCAGUUGUGAAAUCUCCGGGCUUAACUCGGAAAGGUCAACUGAUACUGUGCGACUAGAGUGCAGAAGGGGCAACUGGAAUUCUCGGUGUAGCGGUGAAAUGCGUAGAUAUCGGGAGGAACACCUGUGGCGAAGGCGGCCCCCUGGUUGGAUACUGACGCUGAUACGCGAAAGCCAGGGGAGCGAACGGG
rnacentral:rRNA from 1 species